AGCCAUGCAUGUUUCCGCAAUCAGGGACGAAUAGCUCAGUAAAACUGCGAUGAUUUAGUCUGGCUGUGUAGAUAACUACGUGAAAAUGUAGCUAAGGGAAGGCAGAAUAAGACGCAGGACUAUCAGUUAGUUGGUAGUGUAAUGGACUACCAAGACAGUGACGGUUGACGGGAAAUUAGGGUUUUGUACCGGAGAGGGAGCCUGAGAGAUUGCUCCCACGUCCAAGGACGGCAGCAGGCGCGAAAAUUGCCCACUCUUUGCAGGAGGCAGUUAUGAGACGUGAAGAUGAGUAUCUUGUAAAGAGGGAUAGGAGAAUUGGAGGGCAAGUUUGGUGCCAGCAGCCGCGGUAAUACCGACUCCAAGAGUGUGUAUGAGAGAUGCUGCAGUUAAAAAGUCCGUAGUCAUAGAAGGGCAAAGAGAGACGCGAGGUCUCACAGUGCGAUGAUGGAGGAGCCGAUGGGGAACAUAGUAUACCAGGCGAGAGAUGAAAUGCCAAGACCCCUGGUGGACUGAGCGAGGCGAAGGCGAUGUUCUUGUAGGCAUUCGGUGAUCAAGGACGAAGGCUGGAGUAUCGAAAGUGAUUAGAUACCGCAGUAGUUCCAGCAGUAAA
rnacentral:rRNA from 1 species